ACCUGGCUGGACUAAGUACUGAGUACUCUGCUCUGUUUGGGGUCCCCUGCAGACACCCCCCCAUAAGAGGGAGCGAGGUUCAAGCUCUGCCCAGCCCUAUCUCCCCCUUCUAGAGGACCUGACAUUAGGUGUCCUCCAACCUGUUGAGGACAGAGUCCAGCAGUGCUGGGGUUCCAAGUGACAGAGAUGACCCCCCCCCAUCAUCCCAGCUGGGGUCUCGGCAACCCCCUGAAGCAGUCUUUGGUGGGGUGCUGCCUCAUUUUCCUCGCACCCCCAGUCCUGACGGGGCAGACUGGGGUCACAUGGAGCCUGGUGUCCCCUGCUUAGUGACUGCCGGUCCUGAGCCCCAGACCUGGGGGGGGGGGUCCUGUAUGCCUAUCAGGCAACCCAGCCUGCUGCCCGCUGUGGGGGUGGUGGCUUGCCGGCCUGGGGUGCAGGUGGCUGGCGUCGGCGCGGGUUGGCAAGCCCAGGUGCCCAUGUGACUGUCCACGUGCCCCCGGGGACUGGCCCGUGGUGACUGUCUAAAGAUACCCUCGGGUUUCGCAAUGGCAGGUCUGCCCGCCCCCGCCCACCCGCCGGGCAUUCCCUGGCGUCCUAUAACUAUCAGGGGGAGCAGGCUGCGGUGGCACUUGGCGCGAGGCUGGGCCAGGGGUGUCUCUGCGGGCCACCCCCCUGCCCGGCUGGGUGCCCUGUG